rnacentral:lncRNA from 1 species
ACUAGCUUAUAUUCAAAAUAUUUUAAGAUACACAAUCGUAUAUACCCCACGCGCAGUGCCACGCGCCACUUUCCAUUCCUGGGCACGUUCCUUUUUCCAGCUUCUACCCCAAAACCCCCCCGCUUUUCAUACCCCAAAAAAGAGAGAUUUUUCUUAGAUCUCUGCGAAUGCGACAAUGAGCCACCGGCAACGUUCACCGCCGGCGGCGAGACAAGUACCUAUAGACGAAGAACCUUACAACAUCAUCCCAAUCCAUAACCUCUUAGCUGACCAUCCUUCUCUCCGUUUCCCCGAGGUACGGCGUUCACCGCCGGCGGCGAGACAAGUCCCUAUAGAUGAAGAACCUUACAACAUCAUCCCAAUCCAUAACCUCUUAGCUGACCAUCCUUCUCUCCGUUUCCCGGAGGUACGCGCCGCCGCCGCCGCUUUACGUUCCGUUGGCGACCUACGUAGACCUGCAUUCAGGCCUUGGAAACCUCACUAUGAUCUCCUUGACUGGCUCGCCCUUU